rnacentral:rRNA from 1 species
GACGAACGCUGGCGGCGUGCUUAACACAUGCAAGUCGAACGGGUCUGCCCUGUUUUUUGCGGGGUGGGUCAGUGGCGAACGGGUGAGUAACACGUGAGUAACCUGCCCCUCACUUCUGGAUAACCGCUUGAAAGGGUGGCUAAUACGGGGUGUUCUGGCUGUGCCGCAUGGUGUGGCUGGGAAAGAUUCACUUUUGUGGUGUUUUGGUGGGGGAUGGUCUCGCGGCCUAUCAGCUUGUUGGUGGGGUGAUGGCCUGCCAAGGCUUUGACGGGUAGCCGGCCUGAGAGGGUGGGCGGUCACACUGGGACUGAGAUACGGCCCAGACUCCUGCGGGAGGCAGCAGUGGGGGGUAUUGCACAAUGGGCGGAAGCCUGAUGCAGCGACGUCGCGUGAGGGAUGGAGGCCUUCGGGUUGUGAACCUCUUUCGCCGGUGAAGAAGGUCCUGCUCUUUGUGGUGGGGUUGACGGUAGCCGGGUUAUGAAGCGCCGGCUAACUACGUG